UUCACACUGCAAAAUAUCCUCCCAAAACCUAGUGCCGUCGUUGGCGAUUGCGUUUCUCAUCUUCUUCAAUCAAGCCCAGAACUUGAUUGUCUCUUUCAAACCUUCUUCUCGUUCUCGUCACCGUUAGCAAUCCAAGUAUUAAUUUAUGAUUCUCCUUUCGCCGGCGAAUUUAGUAAGGCUAAUCUUUUUUUUCCUCUCGUCGCCGUUUGCGAGAGAAGUUUUAAUUCGUUCUCCUCCUCUCCAAUCUGGUAUUCGCCAACGAAUCUUGU